CGGGGGGCAGCAGUGGGGAAUUUUGGACAAUGGGCGCAAGCCUGAUCCAGCCAUGCCGCGUGAGUGAAGAAGGCCUUCGGGUUGUAAAGCUCUUUCAGCCGGAAAGAAAACGCCAUUCCUAAUACGAGUGGUGGAUGACGGUACCGGAAGAAGAAGCACCGGCUAACUACGUGCCAGCAGCCGCGGUAAUACGUAGGGUGCGAGCGUUAAUCGGAAUUACUGGGCGUAAAGCGUGCGCAGGCGGUUUUGUAAGACAGACGUGAAAUCCCCGGGCUUAACCUGGGAACUGCGUUUGUGACUGCAAGGCUAGAGUACGGCAGAGGGGGGUAGAAUUCCACGUGUAGCAGUGAAAUGCGUAGAUAUGUGGAGGAAUACCGAUGGCGAAGGCAGCCCCCUGGGUCGAUACUGACGCUCAUGCACGAAAGCGUGGGGAGCAAACAGGAUUAGAUACCCGGGU
rnacentral:rRNA from 1 species